rnacentral:rRNA from 1 species
AUUGAACGCUGGCGGCAUGCCUUACACAUGCAAGUCGAACGGCAGCAUGAUCUAGCUUGCUAGAUUGAUGGCGGGUGGCGAACGGGUGAGUAAUACAUCGGAACGUGCCCUGUAGUGGGGGAUAACUAGUCGAAAGAUUAGCUAAUACCGCAUACGACCUGCGGGUGAAAGUGGGGGACCGCAAGGCCUCAUGCUAUAGGAGCGGCCGAUGUCUGAUUAGCUAGUUGGUGAGGUAAAGGCUCACCAAGGCGACGAUCAGUAGCUGGUCUGAGAGGACGAUCAGCCACACUGGGACUGAGACACGGCCCAGACUCCUACGGGAGGCAGCAGUGGGGAAUUUUGGACAAUGGGGGCAACCCUGAUCCAGCAAUGCCGCGUGUGUGAAGAAGGCCUUCGGGUUGUAAAGCACUUUUGUCCGGAAAGAAAUCGCACUUACUAAUAUUAGGUGUGGAUGACGGUACCGGAAGAAUAAGGACCGGCUAACUACGUGCCAGCAGCCGCCGUAACAC